UUUUACUUCUAAAUCCCAUCUCUCUCUCUAUCUGUUUCGUGACUAGACCACAUGCUCAUGCAGACAGAUCCAGACCCACCCACAUACUCAUCCCACAUGGAUGUAUGGGAUAUAGCCCAGAGGACAUCUGCCCCACCAUCUCGGUCUCCCUGUGGCGUCUUAAAAAAAUUUUUGUGUGCCAACUCUUUGUGCCUUCAUCAAAUUUGUUUAUACGUGUUCAUCAUAUGACAAACCUUCCAAUCACUUCUGGCUGUCUUUACAUUUGUUUUCUGAAGAAAUUCCAGAACCAUAUUCCAUAAUUACAUCUAUUCUUGGAUCUGGAGAG
rnacentral:misc_RNA from 1 species